CAAACCGUAGUUUUAUUAGAGAACAUUUCAUUUACACUGAUAAGGUAGCUGUGCAAUUCAGUUUAGUUUGA
rnacentral:tRNA from 1 species